rnacentral:lncRNA from 1 species
GUAAGAUUUAUACUUUGUUGCUUUUUUUUCAUCUCAAUAUUGUCACAAAAUCGAAGAAAUUCAUUUUUCUGAGCCAAAAAACUGGUUCCCUGUAUAAAAUACUGCAUUACUCGUUCCAGUGAUAAGGUCCAGGGGAAAUAUUUUGUGUGAAGUCUUGUACUACUAUGGUGUUUAUAUUCACCAAGUUUUAUGGAGAUUUGAAGACCCCC